rnacentral:sRNA from 1 species
ACUUAAUUGUAAUAUUUUAGGAUUUACACGGGAACAAGCUGAAGGUUGUGCAGAGUCUUUGGUUGAAAUCAUCAACACCACAUUAGAUCACCAAGGGAGGCACAUGGUGACAAAGCCGCAGCAGGAAAUAGCCGUGCAACAACUUCUAUCAGAGAUAGUUUCUGUGAAAAAAGACAUGACACUUCUUCAGAAAAGUGAAUUUUCUUCUUUGAAAACUGAAACCGAGAAAAUGAGCAUAGAACUGUCACAAAUACAGAGCCAUGUAAAUGAUCAAAUACUCAAACUGAAGGGCCAGUUCAGCCUGGAUAUCAAUUUAGAGAGAGGACGAGCGAUAGAAGCAGUUAGUACAUUCUUAAAUA